UAUGUACUCCCUCCGUUCGGAAUUACUUGUCUCGGAAAUGGAUGUAUUUAGAACUAAAAUACGUCUAGAUACAUCCAUUUAUGCGACAAAUAAUUCCGAACGGAGGGAGUAUCAU
rnacentral:pre_miRNA from 1 species